rnacentral:lncRNA from 1 species
GAAUAAGAGGCAAACUAUUAAUCAUACAUGAAUAAAACAUAAUAUUUAAAUAAAAAUCAAAUACAACUAUAAUCAUAAAUGAAUAAAAUAUAUUGUAUAGAUAAUUAAAAUAUACCUAUAAUCAUAAAUGAAUACCACAAAACAAAAAAGAAAUUACAAUGUAUAAUUUAGGUAUUUUUCAUUAAUCUUAAAUGAAUAAGACACAAAAAUAGUUGCAAUAUAGAAAUUUUGUUGUGGCUUAUCCAAUGAAGCUGAUAUUUUGAUUUUUCUUUGUUGUCUCUGAUUCUUGUAGUCUUGCAGUUUGUAUAUUGCAACUUUCAAUUUGCUACGCAUAAUGAAUUUUUGUCUUUCAUUCAAUUACCUAAAAAAAGAAAGCAAAAAAAAGUUAAUUAGAAACAAGAGCCCCCACCUUGUAAUUUAACAAGCUUUAGCUCCAACUCAAUAUCUCACUAAUCACAUAAUCAAGGACCCGGUGCAUCAUUUUCACAGGACUUUCAAUUUAUGGGUGCAACUUGCUCAAAUAUAUUAUUCUAGAACUUUUAUUCAUUAAUGGAUAAAGCUACAAUCAUAAAUGAAUAUCAAGGUGGUGCCCCCGAAAAGAAAGUAUGGAUUCGAGGUCACCUUUUGGCAUCUUUUAGCACUUACCAACAUGCGAGUUAUAGUGAUAUCAUUUAUCAAUUUAGGAUACAUGUAUGGAUAUAGAGACUAUAAUGUGUAAUUCCACCACACCUGCAUACUAAAAGCCAUUAUAAAAAACAUCGACUUGUAAGAUGAAAAAGAAGAAAUGAACCAAAAAGACAUCGUUUUACUUAACAAAAUUGGGUGUACAAAUCAGAUUUCAAAGCUAGUAAUCUUGCCUAGUCUACAGGUCAAACCAAAAUGAGGGAAACAGUUCAAGUUUAAAGAUCAACAAGAACCCAAAAUUGAACAAACAAAAGAAUUAUAAAUAAGUAAACAUUCUAAAACUUAGCAAAUUUCCUAUCAACCUAAGAAACUAGCAAAUCUACGCACUUCCAGUAUAGGAUUACGAUAUAAUAAUAAGCCCUAUUAUGCGGAUUAAACAACAAAAGAGGAAUACAUUGGAGCAUACCCGAUCAGUGAAAGUGAGACCACUUUAACCCAUAAACUAUGAAAUCAUAUGAAGAAAUACCGAGAAUCAUUAAGAAUUCAUCCUACUAACACAAAAAGAGAAACACGAUAAGGAAGAAACUGAAAAAUAGGAACGAUCAUCUCAAACAAUACAUCGACAUGUGAAACAACUUGUGGAGUUACCGUGAUUAACAAAGAGAACACUAAACUUACAAUUCCAUUGACGAUGAUUGAGAAUUCACGAUGAAUUGACUUUGGAAAAAGAUCCGUGAUAAGAUUUUGAUCGAUUCAAAUAGGAUAGGAUCGAUGUUGGCGACAUGUUAAUGAAGUGAAGAGGCUCUGGUAGUUGUUCUUACGGAGAGGCGGUGGUACAUCAGAGUCUAGAGAGAGAAUUGGGUGUCAGAUGCUAAAUGCAACUAUACAAGUGUGAGAUCCGAAGGUACAUAUGUGUGGAGGCGGACCUGGUAGCCAUGGUCGAUUACGACCAAACCCUAAGCGAGGUGUCAGCUACUUUUUUGUUGGAAAAUGAAGAUCCAAUGAAGCAUAACAGGGGAGGAAAAUGAAGAUCAGGUUGUAAAUGGAUUAGACAAUCUUAAUCUGAAGUAUAAACAAGGGAGUAGAAGUUGGGAUAGAUAAAGGCAGGUUGUGAUAAAGAUGAUGGAUUUUAUGCCAAGAACAAGGGUCGCUCCCAAACACGCACAACCAACAUUCGGAUAUUAGGAAAUUAGGGGUGUUUCAUAUCAAAAAGUGAUUUUUAGAAAAGAUCUUUUUGAUUCCUAUAAAAAAAUUUUAAAAUGUGUUUGUUUAAACUUUUGAGGGGGAAGGGAAAAAAAGCAAAAGUUGCCAAAAGUCAAACAUACGUGACUUCUUAAAAGCCUCAUUUUUCUUCUUCUCAAAAAACUAUUUUAAAAGAUCUUUUUCAAUUGUCAAACAACUUUUUAAACUUUUUGAUUUUUUGGAAAAGCCAAAAAUUUCA